UGGGAGGAGCAGAGAGGCGGAGAAAGGAAAUCUGGAAAACAGUUUAUAAUCCGUGCUGAAAGCAUUACUUCGGUUUGGCUACAUUGUGAGAAUAGGUAAUUACCGGAGAAGCCUGGAUGCUUAAACAAGCUUUGGAGCUGCUUUUCUGUCGGACAGGAGUGAGGCUGGACACCGAAUACACCUGAGACGCGAAGGUCUACUUGUUCAGCUUCUGCAGCCUAGACAGACACACCAACAUCACCAUACAGACCAACAGAUUUCUUCCAGGUGUCACCACUUCAUCCAUGACAUCAUCCGUGAUCGCAGAGAUAUGGUCCAUGAUCGGAGAGACAUUGUUGAAGAUGAGGGAGACAUCGUCCAUGAUCAGAGACAUUGUCCACGAUCGCAGAGACCUUGUCAAAGAUGAGAGAGACGUUGUCCAUGAUCAGAGACAUUGUCCC